rfam:Ovis aries breed Texel chromosome 12, whole genome shotgun sequence.
UCCCUGGUAGCUCAGAUGGUAAAGCGUCUGCCUACCAUGCGGGAGACCCAGGUUCAAUCCCUGGAUUGAGAA